UUCCUGAUUUCACCUUCUUCUCUCUUGUGAUCUGAUUCUCUUUAUGAGUAAGGGCUUCAUCUCACUUCAUUCUUACAUGACUGCAAGAUUUUUCACUGUAGGCAACGGAUGGCCACAAGAGACAUCCAGUGAGCUUGUCCCUGACUGUGUAUCAGAUGGCCUCAGCUGGAGGCCAGGUGAAGUGGUGGACAUUCCUGGUCUCCAGCAUGCUUAGCAGCCCAGAUUGGAGAUUGCUGUUCAUAAGGGCAGGGAAUGUGCCAGCUUUCACAGAUCUGUACUUGCAGGAGGAGCACUAGACCUGUGAGGCAGCACCCUGCCAUCCGGCUCCUGGCGGACACCCAGACACUAUCUCAAGCUCCAUCAAUGCACUGACAUAUUUUCUGCCUGGAAAAGCCAUUCCAGAUUUGGACACAAAAGUGAUCAGAGUAUCAACUGGUAAUUACGAGAAACCUCAAAAUAAAUGCAGAAGAAUUCAUGAGACAAAUUGGAAAGACAGAAUGAAAUGAGCAAAACAGAAGCCUAAAAAAAAAGGAAAAUGAAAAGGAUGGUUUAACGCUGACAUUAUUUAAUGGUCAUCAUAGUGGUGAUGCUAGGUUGAUGGUUGAACUUGCUGAUCUCAGAGGUCUUUUCCAACCUUAAUGAUUAUAUGACUCUAUAAAGAUAGGAAUACAUGAUCUGAGCUUUACAAUGAAAGUGAAGAAAAAAAGUACAAAAAGUAAUAAAAUGUGCUAAUAGAAAAUAAAAAAGUAAUGUGGUAAAUCUGUACUUCUACUGCCCAAGGAUACAUUUUUCUCCUUAGACUGUGGUUUAAAUCAAUAAGAAAAAAAUUGCCAGACUUUACAUUUUAUUUCAUGUUGUCCAGUCUUUACAUCCUGCAGAGAUGAAAAAUAUUAUCACUGUUCAGAGAGGGUACAAGUUGCUCCUUUGGCCAGAGUGUAACUAACUAAAAAAAAAGUAGACAUCUGAGCAGCAGAAACACUGAAGACUGGUUUUCCAUACAUUUCAGAAGGAUUUUUUUAUUUAACAAUAAAACAAGAGUGAUUUAGCCUUCUCCUUUGGAAGAAGAUGUCAGAAAGAAUUGUUUAUUAACUGGCUCUCCCUAUUCUACCCAGCCACAUGUUUUCACAAGUCUCAAAGGAACCAGUAUCUUUGAGACUUCUCUCCCUCUUGGAUUGGAAUGACAUUGGGCACUAAUGUAAAAAGUCAGUAAGAGGAGGUGAGAAAGAAGGGUGCAGAUAAACAGAGAGGCAUAAUGGUCAAAUAUGUCCAAUUCUCCCCAGGAAAAUCCUCUAAAAUAACUAUGUGGAGCAAUACUUAAUAUUUUCCUAACCCCAUAUGUCUCCUUGUUCUACUUUGUAGAGACAUGUAAAGACCAAAAGCUAUUGAAUGGUACAUUUGUCUGUAAGGAUCACAAGCCUCUUUCUUUUCUCUCUCUGUACUAAGUGCAAAGAUCCUUUCACAUGGAACCAGCACAUGCUCUGUUUCCAUAGGUCUUGUCAUCUUCUGCUGCAGUCCAGGACAUCAGAGCACAUGCAAUGCAGAGCAUGAACUCAUACCAAGAAUACUUUGCUUUCUUUUCAAUUUCUUACUGACUUAGAGAGAUAACUAAACAGAAAUUUCCCCUAACAAGAAUAUCAGCUGAAAAAGAAAUUAGAUAAUUAGGUCAAAGCAGCUCAGCAUGUUAGCUGUGUAUUCUGGUUUGCUUCCUGUUUUUCUUCCCUUCCGCAGCCAGUAUCUUUCUCUUAUAUAACAAGCUAUUAUUAUUAGGCUAACUUCACUCAAAAGUCUAUGACUCAGCUAUUAAUAAUACUAAAGAUAAAGGAGUACUUACUGCUGGCUUUCAGAAGAAUUUUAAGUUAUUCUGUUCUCACUGAGUCAGGAGUUCUCUGCCAAGAGCUUUUGAAAUCCUCCACUUCUGCCAUUUGAACUUGUGCCUUUUUCACAAUAGUAAGUGGCACAUUCAGACCCUCAGUAUGUACACCUACACACCAUGUCCUGACUGCUCACGCAUCAAUUUACAUUUACUUUGUUAUUCUGCCAACCUUUCUUAAUUCUACCAGUCAUCCUUCCUUUCUGCAAUUCAAAUGAGUCAUGGAAUCCUUCAAUCUGUUAUAGCGUAAGAACUUUUCCUACAUUCUUGUUGAAAAUGGUUUCCUGAGAGCCUCACUACAGGCAGUGACUUUAAAUACUUUCUAAAUAAGGUCUUGAGAAUUAUUUCUGUAGCGGUAUCUCCAUUUAGCAGCUGAAGUACCCUAGCUCCAUAAUGCAUCCUCCAACAAUGUUUUUGAGUUUUAGCUACUACCGUAAUUGAUAAAAUGUGGCAUAUCCUGUUUUAGGACUGGGAGAAAUGAUCUUUAACCACGUGGUCCCUUAGACUGUAAAGCUCUGUAUUUGGUUUGGCAGAGGUGGAGUAUAUUUUCCCACAGCAGCCCUCACAGUGUUGUGCUUUGCAGUAGUGGCUGGAAAGGUGUUGACAACACAGCAGUGCCUUGGCUGCUGCUGAGCAGUGCUGGCACAGCACCAGCCUCUCUUUUCACCAGUAGGCUGGGAUGGGCAAGAUCUUGGGAGGGGACAGAUCCAGGACAGCUGACCCAAACUAGCCAAAACAAUAUUUCAUAUCAUAUUAGGUCGGGUCAGCAAUAUAAGCUAAGGGAAAGGAGGAGGAAAGCAGGGCGGUGUAAGAGACGGUCCGAAGAUCCCUCAUCU